CCAGCCCUGCCCACACUUUGAUCUCACAGACUUCCAGCCUUCAGAACUGUGGGAAAAUAAAAGUCUGCUGUUUAAGCGGCCCAGCCUGUAGUAUUUUGUCAUGGCAGCCCUAGGUGACUAAUACAACAGGUGUUUCAUCCUGUUCCUUUCCUCAGGUGGUGUUGCAGAGUACCCCAGCAUCUUUAGGUGGUGGUAGAAGAGACUCCAGCAUCUGCCAUAACCCCCGGAAGAGUGUUCUGUAUGUUACACUGUGGGGAGGUUUUCCUCAAAGCAUUAGAGUGAUCUGAACAAUGGGAAUCUUUGCACAGAGGAGGAUGAGUUCUACUCGGGGAUGGUACCUACUAAGAGAGACAUGUUGUCUUCUCUUCAAUUGCCCUUUAAUGAAGAAAUAAAAAUUAUUUAAUUAUUCGGUGAAGAAAUAAAAAGAGUAUUGCAUUCUUUCAACAGAGAUUCUGCACUUGUACUCCCAGCUCUCCAGCUCCAGCAGCACUGAGGCAGAUCUGAGUUUCUCGAAGCUGGGCCCAUCACCAACAAGACAGUGAUGGUGAAAGCAAUGAUAGAAGAGGUCGAAUUUAGAGUAAGGAUCAGGAUGGACAGGAGAGAGCUGAACUUCAAGGAUGCGAAUUUAUUUCCACACAGGGGAGAAACACUGAUUGGAGAAAAUUUACAGUUGCUGUUUAGACACUUGAGCCUCAGGAUCGAGAAAAGGUGCACCUCUUAGAUGGGCCUUAAAUUGGAGAUGAUGAUAUCUAACCACCUGGAGACGGGAAAGUAGGUGUCACUCAAUGCUGAACGGUGCUACUCAUCUGUGAGAUUGUAUAAUGAAGUUUUGGAGACUGAGCCUGUACCUUCAUCUGUUCUUUAACCAAUGCACACUUAACAAGCACGUCAUGUUUAGCUGCUCAGCAGAGCUUCCUUCUUCAGAAACAGAGACGGGGUGCGGAGGCAUUUUACAACCCAGGGGGCUCCAGCUUCAUAGACUGUCUUGUGAGGAUCUAUGCUGUUACUCUGAGGAUCAGCGUUGGUUUUCCAAGUCCUUCAUGAACAUAACAAGUCAAUGAUAAGACGACAAGUUCCACCGCUGUGCCUCA
rnacentral:lncRNA from 1 species